rnacentral:ncRNA from 1 species
ACUUUUCAACACGGAAAACCCACUAGGUCUAGACAAAGUAAAGAAUGACAGUUUGAGAGCACUAUUUUGGUAUUUUGGGUGGUGAUGCAUGGCAGGCCUUAGGUGGUGGAGUGAUUUGUCCGCUUGAUUACGGUAAAGAAUGAUCUUCAUAGUUAGAGCAGUAAUAAAAAGGCUCUAUCUCCAACGCUGCAGGGGCUACCAAUAUUACCCAAUCCCCUUGGUGGGACCAGGAUCUUAUAUGUUCCUCCUCUCCAGAACUAGGCU